ensembl:lncRNA
CUCACUCCAGGUAGGAGGGAUGUGACUGAUCUUGGAAGUUGCUGAAAGUAAUCUCUCUUCCAGGCUCCUGUCUGACAACGAAAGCCCCCAAGCCAAUAUGAGCUGGUUACAGAGAAAGAGAAGCUGAGAACACAGACCAGCAGGUCAGACCAUAAAGGAUCUUCCUCUCACUAUGUCAUGAAGAGCAUUGAAUGAAUGAAUGAAUUUUGGAUAUAGGAACACACUGCCUAACAUCGUUGAACUUCAGUUUUCUCGUUGAUGAUGAAGAGUGAAUAGACGCACUGGAACAUCCACGGAUUUCAGUAUCUUUUGUGCCUGAGUCAUUCAGUUAUAUCCUACUCUUUGUGACCCCGUGGACUGCAGCCCACCAGGUUCCUGUGUCCAUGAGAUUUCCCAGGUAUCCCUUGUCUUGUUGAAUGGUACUGCCAACCACACACACCCAGCCAUCCGAUGGGGAUCCUGAUUUUUCAAACUUAAUCUAAGUCCAUCUGCCUCAGGAGACAUCACUACAGAAGAGAUCCAUUGGCCUGGAAAGAAGCUGUCUUUCCCUCCUUACCCUCAUCACAACCCUGUUCGCAACCUGGCUCAUUCAUCUGACUCCUGCAUAGACAGAAACCAAGCUCCUGGAGGCAAGAAUAAAAUACUCCCUCCUGCAUUCUGAGCAUCUAGUCUUUCAAAAAGGGUCUUCCAAAAAGUCUAUGUUUCCGAGUGAAUAAAGAAACAAAUCCUCCCAAACACA